AAAGACCAAACAAGUUUUCGUACAAAGGUAUAUUAGGUAGGUUAAAGGGACCACAGAUAAAGCUGACAUCAAACUUGGUUGACUGGAUUGGAAAGGCAAUCUGUGAUAGUUCGUUUAUCGUCCGUAGUUCUUUAGAUAGUUUAAGUUGCAUUAGAUUAAACAACACCAUAUAACAUGGCAUUGUAUUCGUAUUUGGAUCGUUCAGAAGUUUCCCUUAAAAUAUUUGAGUAGACAUUGUUUUGGAGGGU